ACGUUCCCGAUCGCGGUGCCGUAAAUAUCCCAGUUGCCACGUUCAUCGCCUUGCCGGAAUUAGCAUUCACAAUCUCAAAGGGAAUUGGAACAUCGACGUAAGAGAAGGAAGCAUUUUUCUGCACGUGGAAAAAGUUCUUUAAAACAUGAGGUAUCUUCCUUCCGGAUGCCAUCCGCUAAUUCAACAGAAUAUGGAAAUGAAGGAAUUUGAUGAUAAUUCCACCCAAUCUGGCCGGAGACGACACAGGCCACAGUGAGGACGAUGGUUACGAGCUUUAUUUUAAGAACGGUGCAACAUAAUUGAGGAUGGAAAUUUGACUCGGAAUGAACAGGUACUCGAUGGCCCACCUUUUAUAUAUUUGCUGGGGUUUUACCUUCUACAGUCAGCGAUUGUUUUUUAUGUCGUUAACUAUAUUUCCGCGCAUUUAAAGUUCUAUUCUAGGACGAAUAUACAAGCUUGCAUAUCCUCUAUAGCAAACA